rnacentral:rRNA from 1 species
UUGGAGGGCAAGUCUGGUGCCAGCAGCCGCGGUAAUUCCAGCUCCAAUAGCGUAUAUUAAAGUUGUUGCAGUUAAAAAACUCGUAGUUGAAUUUCGGGAUCAGAGUGUCGGUCGUGCCUCGGUACGCACUGGUAUUAUUGGUUCCUACCUUCUGAAGAACCGCGAUGUCAUUAAUUUGGUGUCGUGGGGAAUCAGGACCGUUACUUUGAAAAAAUUAGAGUGUUUAAAGCAGGCUUACGCUUGAAUACAUUAGCAUGGAAUAAUGAAAUAGGACGUUUGAUUCUAUUUUGUUGGUUUCUAGGAUUGACGUAAUGAUUAAUAGGGAUAGUUGGGGGCAUUAGUAUUCAAUUGUCAGAGGUGAAAUUCUUGGAUUUAUUGAAGACUAACUACUGCGAAAGCAUUUGCCAAGGAUGUUUUCGUUAAUCAAGAACGAAAGUUAGGGGAUCGAAGACGAUCAGAUACCGUCGUAGUCUUAACCAUAAACUAUGCCGACUAGGGAUCGGAUGAUGUUAAUUUUUUAAUGACUCAUUCGGCGCCUUACGGGAAAC